CUCCCCCUCUCGACCACCGUCACAGCCUGCGUAGCCUUCCCUGUUCGCUCACACACACAGCGGUGAUGGGAUAAUACACAACGCAUGAAUGUACUGUGCAGCAGGACGAGUGUGUGAGGAGGAGGAGGGUCGUGUGUGUGUUUGAGGACAGAGUGUGAAGCGAGGAGUGCGAACGAGCUGAAGGAGCUUCCAUGAAUCUUCUGUUUUUUAUGCUGGAUGUGUUUUUGCAGCACUGCAGGCUGAGAAGGAGCUGGAAGAGUUUAAACUUCCUGCUGUAGCGCAGGCUCGGCCUGUUCCAGGACGCUCUUAUGUAAAGUGGAGCUCCUGCACAUGGAUAAGAAAAGGCCGACUGUGCUUUGGAGAACACGGAGGUGAUGUCAGUCGUGCAGUCCUUCCUUUCUUUGGCGUCUGUGAUGGUUUCCAGAUGCUUUCAGAGGAUCGUUCAUGUAACUGAAUCCUGUAAAAAUGUACACACAGCUGAAGCACGGCUCACAACUCUCCAGCCGUCUCGGAGCCAGUCCAGGCCGAUAUUCCUGAUGGCCGCCGUAACGAACGCGGAUGGAGCCGUAACUUUCAUCUCCAUGGUGACCGGGACAUUUAAACUGCACAGAUAGUCUCCAUUCUACUCUGAUUAUAUUUCUUUUAAAGAAAAAUUCAAAUUAUUUAAACUGCUGAAGCGUUUUCCUGUAAGUUAUCCUUCACUGCAUGCAGAGCAUCAAAACAACAAACUGCUUUGGCUCCUCCCACCAGAGCACUAAACAAACAUCAUGGCGCCAGUGAGGAAAACAAUAGUGCACUUACCUGCGUCUCUAUGGUGAUAACGGACCAACGAGCAUGAUUGGCUCUUCUGUUCUCCGGCUGAGCUGAUUGGCUCGUUGGGGGAAGCUUUGAGACGAGUGUUUGCAUCCAAUCUUACCUUCUCAGGUAAACGUGAGGCCGACACCUGCAGUUCACAUUAAUCAUUAUAUAAGGUUUUAACCCUUUAAGGCCCAUCAGAGCGUGCACGCUCCGUUCUGCAUAACUAUUUCUAAAUCCCAGUAGAAUUACAACCACAUAAGCUAGCACAAUAUUUUCUUUUGCUUGUGAAAUCAGAGCAGUCGUACUUUCAUAACAUGCAUCCAACUUGUCCCAGGUCGCGCUUUCCUUCCACAUACAGCUUUGCAAAAGUUGCGUAAAAAAGCGCUGGCAACAACAAAAAACAUAAUAUUCCAGAAACACGCUCUGCUGAUCCGAUCAGCUGUUCAUAGCACUUCCUACGCUGGAAUAAACAUCAGCGCGAACUAUGUCAUGUCCUGCCAAACCGGAAGUGACGUCAUUUUUCAUGGGACACGCAGUUUUUAUCCCACAGGGCCUUUCAAAGGAGACCAGGUGUUUGUGAAAGUCGUGUUUGACUUCAUGCUCUUCUGUACAGUUUCUGAGAGGCUCAGAACUUAAACUGCACUGUUGGAAAUUGUGUAUUUUGAUGCUGUUUUUUUGCAAAUUGUGCACAAUAAUAUUUAUUUUGGUUUUUCCUGCAGUUUAUAAACA